CGGCAGUCCUUCGGGACGUAUGCACAGGGGGUGCAUGGUUGUCGUCAGCUCGUGUCGUGAGAUGUUGGGUUAAGUCCCGCAACGAGCGCAACCCCUGUUGUUAGUUGCCAUCAUUAAGUUGGGCACUCUAACGAGACUGCCGGUGACAAAUCGGAGGAAGGUGGGGACGACGUCAAAUCAUCAUGCCCCUUAUGUCCUGGGCUACACACGUACUACAAUGGCUGCUACAGAGGGACGCGAAGGAGCAAUCCGGAGCAAAUCCCCAAAAGCAGUCCCAGUUCGGAUUGUGGGCUGCAACUCGCCCACAUGAAGUCGGAAUUGCUAGUAAUGGCAGGUCAGCAUACUGCCGUGAAUACGUUCCCGGGUCUUGUACACACCGA
rnacentral:rRNA from 1 species